rnacentral:tRNA from 1 species
AGUAUAGCUCAGGGGUAGAGUUCUUGAUUAGCAUUCAUGAAGGCCUGGGUUCAAAUUUCCAGUAUU